GCGGACGUAGCUCAGUUGGUAGAGCAUCAGCUUCCCAAGCUGAGGGUCGUGGGUUCGAACCCCAUCGUCCGCU
rnacentral:tRNA from 1 species